GACGGAGGAUGCAAGCGUUAUCCGGAAUGAUUGGGCGUAAAGCGUCCGCAGGUGGCAGUUCAAGUCUGCUGUCAAAGACCGGGGCUUAACUUCGGAAAGGCAGUGGAAACUGAACAGCUAGAGUAUGGUAGGGGCAGAGGGAAUUCCUGGUGUAGCGGUGAAAUGCGUAGAGAUCAGGAAGAACAUCGGUGGCGAAGGCGGGUCUCUGGGCCGAAAUUGACGCUGAGGAGCGAAAGCGUGGGGAGCAAACAGG
rnacentral:rRNA from 1 species